GUAGGUGGCAAGCGUUGUCCGGAAUUAUUGGGCGUAAAGCGCGGGCAGGCGGUUCUUUAAGUCUGAUGUGAAAGCCCACGGCUCAACCGUGGAGGGUCAUUGGAAACUGGAGAACUUGAGUACAGAAGAGGAAAGCGGAAUUCCACGUGUAGCGGUGAAAUGCGUAGAGAUGUGGAGGAACACCAGUGGCGAAGGCGGCUUUCUGGUCUGUAACUGACGCUGAGGCGCGAAAGCGUGGGGAGCAAACAGGGAUUAGAUACCCUGGUAGUCCACGCCGUAAACGAUGAGUGCUAAGUGUUAGGGGGUUUCCGCCCCCUUAGUGCUGCAGCUAACGCAUUAAGCACUCCGCCUGGGGAGUACGGCCGCAAGGCUG
rnacentral:rRNA from 1 species